UGGGACUGGUUCUAGUUGUUUUUUAGCCUAAUUGACGACAAUGUGAAAAUCGAGGGUGGCCUGAAAUCAUCUGCAUCUACUUCAUCCUGGACCUGCAACAGCCGAUCGCAUGGCGUCGCUUCACCCACUCCCACUCUGCAGCCGUCAUUUUCCCCGACACUCCUCUUCCAGCUUCUAAUCCCUCUUUCUUCUGUCUUGUCUCUGUCUCUCAUCCCUCCCUCGUCCACCAUCAGUCGUGGGCCAAGCUGAGCGGUUCCGGGCCGGCUGUUUGGCCCGUCGGCCCCGUCGUGGACUUCCUCCACCUCUUCGAUCUCGCCACAAUCGAACCCCGCGCUCGUCUCCAGCCCGUUUCCAACUGUCAUCGGCCCUGUUGCUCCUCCAGACGAGUCUGGAACCCGUCCACCUGAAAGCCACAUACUUGGGAUUAUCCACAGGGCGACAGCGCUCUGCGUCUGGCUCACGGCACCAAUUCAUCCCAGUUACUGUAUCUCACAGUCGGCCAACAGGGUUCAGUACAAGUUGUUUGAUUGUCAAGCUCCCAGUUUGCAUCAAGGGCAGCGGAGGAGAGAAGCAGCAGGGAGGACGCGCUGCCGCGCUCCGAUCCGCGGCAGACGACUGAUCUCCCAUCAGACGGAUGGAUGUUACCCUUAAUGGCAGAUACGUGACAAACGGCACCAUGGGAGCCAUUCAGGCAGAGCGUCGCAGCGACCGCUCGCUAAGGAGGGAACACGGAGGGUCGCGUGCACGACAAGCGGAGAGGGGACGCGUGAUGAGUGGCAGGAUGAGAUGGAUGCUGUUCCGCCUCCAAAUUACUGAGUGCGGCGUGUAAACAGGAUGCCACGCAGAGACGAGGCGGCGGCCGCUGCCUCAUCAGCAGCAGCAGCAGGAGGCGUGGCCGAGGGAAUUAUCAAGUUCAAUCACCAGCCAUUCGCUGCAAUUACAGAUGAACAUGGCCUCCGUGUGCCCCGUGUGGCAUCUGUUGCUGACAACGGCGAGAGAAACUCGCCUCCUACUGCUGCACAGAUUAGGUGUAGUCGCCAGCUGGACCACAUCAGUAGCGCCCGGCUGAGCUGCUCGGGGGGAAACGACUAAGAAGGAGGACUGGUGGAGGUGGCAACGUGAGCAGGUAGACGGGAUUAAAAAGACGGGGUUGAGAAGGUGGAUGAGCCCUUCAAAGCUGCUGAAGCAGACUCUGCUCUCCGUCCGUCAGGCAGCCGUCCUCCCCUCUGUGAUCUACCUCCUCCUGACCUCACCUGCUUCACACCAUCACUCUGUAACGGGCGACUCAACCUCUGCCCGGAGGCUGGUCUCCCUCCUUGGAUCCUCACCUUCCCGUAAGGCUGGGCUUUCAGGUCUGUUGUUUAGGAGGAACAGGAUCUCUCUGCUGGAUGCUCUAUGAAAACCAUGUGUGCCUAAAGAGCUCACGUCUGCUCUCACGUGGAGUUCCUGAACUCAUCCCUGUGUUUCCUGCAGAGACUGGUCCAGAGUGAUCUAUGCAGCUCCCGUGUCAAUACAAACAUACAGCACAAUGCAAUGUACGGGUGCUUGUCUUAGUGAUUUAAAAACAGAAGACUGCUCAUUUUAUCCUAAUAUCUUUAA